rnacentral:rRNA from 1 species
GAUCCAGACUCCUACGGGAGGCAGCAGUGAGGAAUAUUGGUCAAUGGCCGGAAGGCUGAACCAGCCAAGCCGCGUGAAGGACGAAGGUGCCAAGCAUUGUAAACUUCUUUUGUCAAGGGACAAAAUCAGGCUCGAGAGCCUGACCGAGGGUACUUGAAGAAAAAGCAUCGGCUAACUCCGUGCCAGCAGCCGCGGUAAUACGGAGGAUGCGAGCGUUAUCCGGAUUUAUUGGGUUUAAAGGGUGCGUAGGCGGACUGUUAAGUCAGCGGUAAAAGCCCGGGGCUCAACCCCGGCCUGCCGUCGGAACUGGGUGCCUUGAGUGGGCGAGAAGUAUGCGGAAUGCGUGGUGUAGCGGUGAAAUGCAUAGAUAUCACGCAGAACCCCGAUUGCGAAGGCAGCAUACCGGCGCCCUACUGACGCUGAGGCACGAAAGUGCGGGUAUCGAACAGGAUUAGAUACCCGAGUAU